GACCUGCGGAAGGUCAUUACCGAAUUGUCAAACACGGGUUGUUGCUGGCCUCCAAAUGGGGGCACGUGCACGCUCUGUUUACACAUCCACUCACACCUGUGCACCCUCUGUAGUCCUAUGGUUCGGAAGACCCCGUCUUCCUUCUGUAGCUCUACGUCUUUACACACACACUGUAGCGAUGUCUCAUGGAAUGUUUUUAUGCGUUUAACGCGAUACAAUACAACUUUCAGCCAACGGAGACCGAAAUCUCUUGGCUCUCGCAUCGAUGAAGAACGCAGCGAAAUGCGAUAAGUAAUGUGAAUUGCAGAAUUCAGUGAAUCAUCGAAUCUUUGAACGCACCUUGCGCCCCUUGGAACCUGGGAAGUGGUAAAAAAUGGAAACAAUCCGACUCUCUGGCUCCUGUGGCUCCUGUGAGUUAGCUUGGACUUUGGGGGUUUGCUGGCCCUGCGGCCGGCUCCUCUCAAAUGAAUCAGCUUGCCAGUGUUUGGUGGCAUCACGGGUGUGAUAACUAUCUACGCUCGCGGUCGUCUGCCAGGUAACCCUCAGCGAUGAGGGUUCAUUGGAGCUCAUAAACGUCUCUCCUCGGCGAGGACAACUUUUGAACGUUCGAUCUCAAAUCAGGUAGGAUUACCCGCUGAACUUAAGCAUAUCAAUAAGCGGAGGAAU
rnacentral:rRNA from 1 species